rnacentral:lncRNA from 1 species
CCCAUACGUCUUCAUCUUAUACCCCNUUUUUUUUAACUAAACCCUUAGUCCAUUUUAAAACAAAACCUAACUCACACUGCAGGUUCUUUCUCUUCCUCUGAUCUUCAAUCUCUCGUAUAACCCUCCACUUCCUAAUUCCCCCUUCUUCUUUUUUUUUUUCAUUUUCUGACACUAGAAAACCCCGAGGAAUAUCCUUUCUCUUCCCUCACCAUUCUUAAGUAAUUCCAUGCAAGACCAUACUCAUCUGUCUCCACAUUCUUCUCUCUAUUUUAUUUACUAUUUGUUUCCUACUACCCAAGCCCUUACGAUUACACUGCUUUUACUACCAUUUUUUUUUUCCUUCUUCCACGAUUACACAACCAAUCCUACAUCUCCCAAAUACCUCUCUCGUAUUUCUCAAACCCCACCCUUUACCUUACUCAUUCUUCCCCCAAGGAUAAAAGCCUUCUAACUCUAGGAUUUGUCAGUCUCUCCAAGACCCACCAGACCCCCUACCGGAAACUUCGAAAACUUUACCAGUCCACCUUUUUAUCUCUCAUUUUCUUUCUACCCCCAACCCCCUAACUUCCUUACGUAUCCUAGGGUAGUGAAACACCAUGCAGUCCGUGGAAACCUAAAACUCUCAACAACACAUAUAUCAAAAUCUCACACUCAUCCUCUAGUAUCACAUAUCUACCUCUAAAAAAAAAAACAAUGCCUUCACCCCGCUACCCGUGCAAGACCGAUCCCGCGAGACUGCUCCACUUUAACCCAACCCACACAUUUACGCACACUCCUACAUUCUCACUUAGGUAAUAUCCAUGCAUCAUUCCACCAUAUAUCCGUGCUUCCUAUAAUUCGACACCACUACAAACCUUAUUCUUUCCACAGAAAGAAGUGGAACCCUACUUCGUGGAAAAUACCGCUAUGCACUCCAACACCCAUCACACUNACCUUUCUCCCCUGUCAUCAGUGUACCCGUACACUCUCUAAAACUUCUCCG